GCAUAGCUUAAGGGAUAGCUCUGUAUGUGCUUUAUGGUGAGAACUGGAGGCCAGAUGCUUCUUUCAGAUUAAUUCUAUGUUAAUAUGACAUCAUUUCUGCAAAACCAGAGUGUAACUGAGAACACAAGGUAGGACUGAGAUAUCAUUUUCACUUUCAUCAUCUGCCUCCCCAUGUCUUUCCUCCUACAAACCCAAAUGUUGCUUUCAGGCAUUGUCCCAGAUUCUCUGCUCUAUGUGGUGAGUUGGCCCCAGCCAGCAGCCAAACUCCCACCCAGCUGCUCGCUCACUCAGUGGGAUGCAGGGAGAAAGUAGAAGGAAUAGGAAAGAGAAAGCUUGUGGGUUGAGCUAAAGACAGGGAGAUCACUUACCAGCUCCUGUUGCAGGCAAAAUGGACUUGACUCGGGAAAAAUUAAUUUAAUUUGUUGCCAAUUUAUAUAUAUCUGUGGUGGUUUGUCCUUGCUGAAUGGCAGAUGCCCACCAAAACUGGUCUGUCACUCCCCUCCUAAACCAGACAGGGGAGAGAAAAGUAUAGCAAAAGGCUCAUUGGGUCAAGAUAAGGACAGGGAGAUCACUCAGCAAAUACUGUCAUGGGCGAAACAGACUUGACUUGGGGGAAAUUAGUUUAGUUUAUUAGCAUUCAAAUCAGAAAAAAAACCUUCCUCCCUCCCCUCCCUUCUUCCUGGGCUUAACUUAAUUCCCAAUUUCUCUGUGUCCUCCCCCCGAGUGGCACGGGGAACGGGGGUUAUGGUCAGUUCACCACACGUUGUUUCUGCCAGUCCUUCCUCCUCACGCUCUUCCCCUGCCUGCUCCAGCGUGGGGUCCCUCCCACAGGAGACAGUUCUCCAUGAACUCCUCCAAUGUGAGUCCUUCCCGUGGGCUGCAGUUCUUCACACACUGCCCCAGCAUGGGUCCCCCAUGGGGUCACAAGUCCUGCCAGAAAACCUGUUUCAGUUUUUCUGAAUUCAGUUGCGGGCUCUUCUCUCCAUGGGACCUGGGGACCUGCUGCAGCACGGGCUUCCCAGGGGGUCACAGCCUCCUUCGGGCAUCCACCUGCUCUGGUGUGGGGUCCUCCCCGGGCCGCAGGCGGGUACCUGCUCCACCGUUAACCUCCCCACGGGCCGCAGGCGGGUACCUGCUCCACCGUUAACCUCCCCACGGGCUGCAGGGGCACAGCCUGCCUCACCAUGGGCUUCACCACAGGCUGCGGGGGAAUCUCUGCUCCAGCACCUGGACACCUCCUGGCCCUCCUUCCUCACUGACCUGGCGGUCUGCAAGGCUGUUGCUCUCACAUAGUCUGACUCCUCUUUCUUGCUGGCACAGAUUUUUAUUUUUUUUUCCCGUUUUAUAUGCUAGCCCAUAGGUGCUACCACCAUCACUGAUUAGCUCAGCCUUGGCCAGUGGUGGGUCCACCUCGGAGCCAGCUGGCAUUGGCUCCACUGGACAUGGCAGGGGAACCUUCUGGCAUCUUCUCACCAAAGCUACCCCUGUAGCCCCCCCGCUACUAAACCCUUGCCAUGCAAACCCAUGACAAUAUUUAAUUACUAAUUUAGGAAGAAAAAAGAGAAAUGUUAAGACAUAAGUAAAAGACCUUUCUCCCCCACUUGCCCAGGAUCAACUUCAUUCCUUCACUCCAGAUUCCUCUCAUUACUGCCACCAGUUACACUCAGUCCCUUCAGCAAGGAAGCCAGUGAAGUGGUGUGGAGCAGGGAGGGGGUUAUGAUCAGGUUGUAGUGUUUUCUCUCUGCUGUUCCUUCCAUCUUGCUCUUUUCCUCUGCUCUGUCACGGGCUUUCCACGGGCUGCUGUCCAUUCCAGGGUGGAGGAGGGCCUUUUCUGGAAGGCAGGGGAAAUGUGAUGUAUCUGCAGUAGCUGAGUUGAUUUAUAUCUCCUGUAGCUCUGAGAUGGUGCAAAUGCUUUCUUCCUACCUUAUGCAGCUGCUGCUUAACAAGUUUAGAAGACCUGGCUGGAGACAGCCGCCGUGCGCUGCUGCAGAGAGCUAUCCAUGUGAGUGUGCUGCCCAUGGAGGGAGGGCUCCCUCUCGACGGGCCUUUGGCAGCUCGUUUGCCAGGGGAGAACAUAAGAUACCACCAUUAAGGAUAAGUUAAGUCCAUGUCUAAAUCACACAGUCUGCAUGAGUUGCAGCAUGCCAUGGAGUCACAGCUCCGGCUUCUCCAUAUGAAGGCUGAGUCUGGAAUAUGUUGUGGUUUCUUCCUGGUCUUCCCACUGGCGGCAGGGCGUGCAGGAAGGAGAUGCUUUGAUCGACCCGUGUCCCUUGAAUGAACGUACGAUGUAACCUCAGUAGACAGCCAGGCCAGGAGUCUGGAGCUGUUCCCAGCUGUCUCAGUUUUGACGUAGUUUCAGAGUGCUUCUUGCUUCCAUGGACCUUUCUUGCUUGUUUUCUCUUAGGAAAGGAGAAAUCUUGCUUCAUUUUUUUCAUACCUGUUCAUCUUCAAGUAACUUCUAUGAAACAGGAAGUUAAAAGAAGCGUUUAGGAAAUUCUAAGAAAUCUCAUUAAAAUGGCAAUGGAGAGGUUUCAUUUACUGAAAUAACAUUUAAAUUGGGAAUAAAGGAAACUAAAUGUAUUGUUUAUCUUCAAAUAAGGUGUUACUUUGAUUGGAAAGGAGCGUUUUUAAAAGAUCUAAGUCUAGCUGAAAAAUGGCUCUGCAUUGGCUUGUGAAGGUUUGUCUCCCUCAUCCUUCCCCUGUUAUCCAGCCAGGUAGGCCUGAGGACAGACCAUAAUAGUAUGGGAUGAGCCCCAUGAGACACAGCAUCUGAACAGCAUCUUCGUUCCCAGUCUCACAGAUAGAAACAAGAGGAUAACUUAAAAGAAUUGCUCUGACUGGAAGCAGGAGGUAGUUUGUGAGCUUGAGGGAAUACAAUCAAUAAGGAUAACAUGGAAACUUUUGGCUAUGGUCAUAGAUAAACCAUACAGAGGUUUAGUGUAGCAAGAACAGUGAAAUCUAACUUCUUUUUCUAUAAUGGCAUUUCAUACUAGCAAGGAUGGUGAGUGUAUUAAUUAAGACAAAAGUUAUUAAGAGUCUGCUAUAGGUAUACUAGCUAUAAGUGAGACAAGAUUUCUGAGGAAAAGUAGUAUUUUGUAUAUUACUUUUGGAACGGUAGAAUCAGGCUUGUGUGCUCAAAGCUGGUCUGUUAUCUCUAACUGUAUCAGCUGACCUAAUUAGACCAUGUCACUAUUACCCGAAUGCUCUAAUAUGUGUGCAUCUGACAUUAAUCAUGGACGCUUUAGACUUUAAUUAGUCACAUCAUGGUGGCAUUUACUGCUCAUAGACUCCAAGAGGAGGCAGCUACCCAGAAAGCAAAUACAUCAGUAGCUUGGCUCCUACUGCCAAAUGUGCAGAUUGCUGACUGUAGUGGUAGCAGGCAACAGCGUGCACGAAAUAGAAAGAAGGUGGUAUGGCAGAAUCAGGGCACUGGUUGCAAUGUUCCUGCCUCUGACCUCUUUCCCCUCACUGUGUAUUCAUAGAAGUGAAGGUUUAGAUCGGCUCAGUUUUCUUGAUUUCUGUUUAAUAAUAGUACUUUUGAUUCCUCGCCUCUUACAGUGGAGCUUUGUUGUCACUCUUGCCUUGUGAGUGGCACAGCUGGAACUGACUCCUUCGGUAUUUGAAGGGAGAUUAUGUUGUGUUCAUUCCUCAUACAGUACAUGCAGGAAUAAAUUAUAUAUGCCAAUAGGAUAGGAUUUGAGAAGUGCUGAACGUAUACCCCGAUGUCAGUGAAAACUGUGGUUAAACCUCCUCCCAAACUUCAUUUUUUCGAUUGAGUAGCUACAUAAGAAAUGCUUUUGAAAAUCCCAAGUAAUUUGCCUUAGCAAAUGUAUUUACUGCUGUUCUAUAAAAAGAGGAAAUUAGAGUGCGAAAAUAGUAUGAGCUGUUCUCCCAGCUGAUAGCUUCAGUAGGGAACACUGACACCAAGUCACUUAGGUGAAAAGCAAAGAGCCACACAACCUUGCAGAACAGUUAUUUUGCCUUACAGAUGAGCUUCUUAAAGGUUGCAUGUUUUCAUGAUGCUGAUUGAGAAGUUAUAGUGUCACCUAUAGAUCCCAGUGAGCUAGGCAUGGUUCAAACCUACAAAGGUAUCGUAGUCUGUACUGCAGAGCAUACAUCAUAGCUAUGCCCUUGUAGUUUGCUGUAUCAUUUAGAGUUACACUGGUAGCCUGUGCUAGAUUUCAGAGACAGCUUGUGGCAACAGGCAGGAAUGAUUAAGACAGAGGAUGAAUGUCAGCUUUCAGUGCUGCAUCUGAGAAGAAGGAGCUAAGGCAAGAGGUCAGCUACGAGCUAAAACUUAGUCCCAUCCUUCCAAACCCCUAUAUGCCCUUGAAUAUUUCACGUGCUAAAAAUAACUUUUUUUUCCCUGUUGUCUCCCCAAACCCAAACUGCAUGUAGGAGGUGAGAGUUCUGAUCUUCUGCUUGCCAGUCGUUGUCUUGAACACAGAGAGGAUUCUGUUCCUGACCGGCUGUCAGACACAGCCCCCUGCCACAAUACCCGGUGGGGAUUGCUUUGCCCUCCUGCACUCUCUGCUGGGUCUGUAGGUCAGCCAGCCUCAUUCUGUUUCUUAAUUUUCUGGCUUUGGGGAUUUUAUCCACGCACACACACACACACCCGCCCCGCAAUUGGCUGCCAAAAAGUAUGGAAAAUAAAUACUGUAGUCGCAAUGUUAAAUUGGAAAUAGAAUCUGGAGAAGGAAAAGGAAUAUUUAAAGAACUACUUAUUUUCAGAUGUGCUUUAAAUUCCGUAAAGCUUUGAUAGGGCAGAAAAAGUCUGGCAGAAAGCCAUGCAGCAAGGAGGCUGUCCUACUUACAGGAGGGAGAGAGAUUAGCUAGAAAGAGCAGGAGAGAAGAAUGGCAGGUGAUGUGAAGAACAGAGAGGUAGGUAGAAAGACUAGGUCAGUGAGACAGGUCAGAGCAAUGCUGUGUUGCUGUCCAAGGAGAGUUUUUAUUAGAACCUGAAAGCUGAGACAUUUGAGGGUGAACCCAAUACAGCUGCA